AUUGAACGCUGGCGGCAGGCCUAACACAUGCAAGUCGAGCGGUAGAGAGGUGCUUGCAUCUCUUGAGAGCGGCGGACGGGUGAGUAAUGCCUAGGAAUCUGCCUAGUGGUGGGGGAUAACGUUCGGAAACGGACGCUAAUACCGCAUACGUCCUACGGGAGAAAGCGGGGGAUCUUCGGACCUCGCGCCAUUAGAUGAGCCUAGGUCGGAUUAGCUAGUUGGUGAGGUAAUGGCUCACCAAGGCGACGAUCCGUAACUGGUCUGAGAGGAUGAUCAGUCACACUGGAACUGAGACACGGUCCAGACUCCUACGGGAGGCAGCAGUGGGGAAUAUUGGACAAUGGGCGAAAGACCUGAUCCAGCCAUGCCGCGUGUGUGAAGAAGGUACUUCGGA
rnacentral:rRNA from 1 species